GGUCGUGCUAAAGGCCUGUUUCCUAGGCUACACCCAGGGGACUGGUUCCCUGUUCUUCUGCCUAGGGGAAAGUCCGGCACCUCGGGCAGAGAGUGCUGCGUGCACACACACGUAGCCAUCCCUCCUUUUCUCACUGUUAAAACCCUAAUCUCGCCUAGCGGCGUGGUGCGGAGGCGGCGUCCGUCAGCUCCACUAGCUCCACUAGUUACCCAGGUAGAGCAUGGCUUAGCACACCAACCACAUGGGGCUCAUUCUCAGCGUAGC
rnacentral:RNase_MRP_RNA from 2 species